CCUACGGGGGGCAGCAGUGAGGAAUAUUGGUCAAUGGGAGGAAUCCUGAACCAGCCAAGCCGCGUGCAGGACGACGGCUCUACGAGUUGUAAACUGCUUUUGUACCGGGGUAAAAUGCCUUACGUGUAGGGUGUUGAAAGUACGGUACGAAUAAGGAUCGGCUAACUCCGUGCCAGCAGCCGCGGUAAUACGGAGGAUCCGAGCGUUAUCCGGAUUCAUUGGGUUUAAAGGGUGCGUAGGGUGUUUUAUAAGUUAGGGGGGAAAUACCGAGGCUCAACAUCGGGGCUGCCGCUAAUACUGUAGGACUAGAGAUCGGAUGCAGCAGGCGGAAUGUGUAGUGUAGCGGUGAAAUGCAUAGAUAUUACACAGAACACCGAUUGCGAAGGCAGCUUGCUAGGCCGGAUCCGACACUGAUGCACGAAAGCGUGGGGAUCGAACAGGAUUAGAUACCCGUGUAGUC
rnacentral:rRNA from 1 species